rnacentral:rRNA from 1 species
GACGAACGCUGGCGGCGUGCUUAACACAUGCAAGUCGAACGGAAAGGCCCUGCUUUUGUGGGGUGCUCGAGUGGCGAACGGGUGAGUAACACGUGAGUAACCUGCCCUUGACUUUGGGAUAACUUCAGGAAACUGGGGCUAAUACCGGAUAGGAGCUCCUGCUGCAUGGUGGGGGUUGGAAAGUUUCGGCGGUUGGGGAUGGACUCGCGGCUUAUCAGCUUAUUGGUGGGGUAGUGGCUUACCAAGGCUUUGACGGGUAGCCGGCCUGAGAGGGUGACCGGCCACAUUGGGACUGAGAUACGGCCCAGACUCCUACGGGAGGCAGCAGUGGGGAAUAUUGCACAAUGGGCGGAAGCCUGAUGCAGCAACGCCGCGUGCGGGAUGACGGCCUUCGGGUUGUAAACCGCUUUCGCCUGUGACGAAGCGUGAGUGACGGUAAUGGGUAAAGAAGCACCGGCUAACUACGUGCCAGCAGCCGCGGUGAUACGUAGGGUGCGAGCGUUGUCCGGAUUUAUUGGGCGUAAAGGGCUCGUAGGUGGUUGAUCGCGUCGGAAGUGUAAUCUUGGGGCUUAACCCUGAGCGUGCUUUCGAUACGGGUUGACUUGAGGAAGGUAGGGGAGAAUGGAAUUCCUGGUGGAGCGGUGGAAUGCGCAGAUAUCAGGAGGAACACCAGUGGCGAAGGCGGUUCUCUGGGCCUUUCCUGACGCUGAGGAGCGAAAGCGUGGGGAGCGAACAGGCUUAGAUACCCUGGUAGUCCACGCUGUAAACGGUGGGUACUAGGUGUGGGGUCCAUUCCACGGGUUCCGUGCCGUAGCUAACGCUUUAAGUACCCCGCCUGGGGAGUACGGCCGCAAGGCUAAAACUCAAAGGAAUUGACGGGGCCCCGCACAAGCGGCGGAGCAUGCGGAUUAAUUCGAUGCAACGCGUAGAACCUUACCUGGGUUUGACAUGGAUCGGGAGUGCUCAGAGAUGGGUGUGCCUCUUUUGGGGUCGGUUCACAGGUGGUGCAUGGCUGUCGUCAGCUCGUGUCGUGAGAUGUUGGGUUAAGUCCCGCAACGAGCGCAACCCUUGUUCACUGUUGCCAGCACGUUAUGGUGGGGACUCAGUGGAGACCGCCGGGGUCAACUCGGAGGAAGGUGGGGAUGACGUCAAGUCAUCAUGCCCCUUAUGUCCAGGGCUUCACGCAUGCUACAAUGGCUGGUACAGAGAGUGGCGAGCCUGUGAGGGUGAGCGAAUCUCGGAAAGCCGGUCUCAGUUCGGAUUGGGGUCUGCAACUCGACCUCAUGAAGUCGGAGUCGCUAGUAAUCGCAGAUCAGCAACGCUGCGGUGAAAAAGUUCCCGGGGCU